rnacentral:lncRNA from 1 species
CUCCGCACCGACGCCAUACGCGAAGCAUUGUUCUCCGACUCCGAAUUAUUUUUAUGUAUAAUUGAUUUUUACCACUAAUGUUGUUUUAAUUAUUGCGUGCUCGCCUGUACUUCCGUCAAAAGCCGUCAGCUGGCGAUCACUUGUAUUAUGUUUUUAUGUUGUAAAUAAACGUUACUUUUUACCUUAUCAUAAACCUCGUGUAUUGGUGGAAUCCACCAAAAAUUUAUAAACUGAUACAAACUAUCUAGUUUCUUAUAAUCUGUGAUAAUAGGUAGUCAUAGUACAAACCAUUAAGAUUGAUAUUUGAUUAAAAAAUCUUUAUCUGUUUUUAGGUUGGAUAUGUUGAUUCAUACAAUUUUGAAGAUAAUGCAAUAUUUCGUAUAACGUGGUAAAUUUAUUUUUAUUAACUGACAUCACUGUAUUCGAUAUAUUCCAUACAAUAUGGAUUGAUUUAUCGACCUUAAUUCAAUAUAUUAUUCGAUUUUUUGUUAACUUUUAUGAUACUAUAUACAUAUUAAUAUUAUAGACACAAAAUGCCUAUAAAGGUUAGUGCUUUACAUCAAUAUAAUAAUUGUACACAAUAUAUUCAGUAAUUCAGUAUACAUUUUAAUGAAAAUAAAAUAUUUUGAAGACUAUAGUUUUUGCUUAUAUCAUAUUUGGUAACUCUACCGUACCUCUCUCUCGCACACAUAUAAAAAAUAACUAUGUAGUUAGCCAGCUGCUGCUGAUUUUGAUAUUAUCACAGAUAUAGAUAUCUAUAUCUGUGGGUAUUAUUAUUGUCGCCAACAAAAUUGUCGCCAUCCUUAUCUAGUUUUUAGUCUUAGUUUUUUCCUAAUAGGGUAUAUCCAUUGGAAGGAAUAAAUAAAUGAUUUACUCGGAAAACUUGGUUUAACCGCAAAAAUAUAUAAUUAGCAAUAUUAAAUAAUUCUACAUAGACGUAGUAGUUAAGUCAACAAUUAAUUACAAUUUCGUGUAACGACAACGGGAAAAAAAAAUCAUAAGAAAUAAUUUUGGUAUACAUAAGAGUUUUUUAAUAAUAACAUAAUUUAGAUGUGACAAUACAAGAUCGGUGUUAACUGUUCGAGCGGAGGAACAAGCCAACGGCGGUUAAUCGCAACGGCCGGUGUAGCCGCUCGUCCAGCAUAGCAGUGAUAGGGGGAAAGACGUCGACCAUCCGAGUGGGACAACUGACGUACCGCCACAAGGUGAAAGUUUAUGUUUUAUAGUAUUGAUAUGGAACUAUGUUAUAAUCACGAUUUAAGAUGGGUACCCGCUCAGAUCAUGUACUAUGGAUAUUGAUUCCAGAUUCUUAAUCGCUUCUGUUUAAGAUAAAGCGCGAUAAAAAUAAUCCAUGUUUUAUAUCGGUUUAUCAAACUUCACCGCUAGAUAACGAAAGUCAGUAGUUCUACAGUUGUUUUAGGCGUUCAGUUGGAUAGUCACCAUAAUACCGUAUUAUAAUUUGUUUUGUAACCAGUAUAUCUUAAGUCGUGCCGUUAUAAUGUUUAAAUAUAAUGUACAUUGUACAGUAAAGUGAUUGAUAAUAUAAUAAUUCUUAUAUUGGGUAGUAUACAGUUUUCAAAAAAAUGAUCAGAAAUCGUAGUCAUAUCGGUCUGCAUGAACACAAAUGUUAAAGCCGGGUUUACACGUAACGAUGUGAUUGAUAAUUUAUCGUCAACAAUUUUUUGCCCAAUAUUCUGUGUCGUCCGCGGUAUACUCAGACCUCAGUUUGCCUUCAGCCUUUACCAUUAAUGCGAUGCAUUAAUUUUUUUCACUAUAGUAUUUCUGUGCCGAUGGAACUGACUCUUUAUAUUUUUGAACGAACACUGUAUAAGGAAGGUGUUUUUUAUUUUUGUAAGGGUAUUAAUUGCUCUUAAUAAGUCACAAGCAGGUAAAACUCCGAUAAAGUUUUAUAGAUUUACUCAAGAGCGUGUAAAUCGUGCUUAAGAAAAUAAAUUGCAUUAAAAAUGUAGUAACAACAAAAACUCGUUGAUUUCAAUCGUCUCAUAUCUAUGGCUAGUGUUAAAUAAUCGGUAUCAACUAUCAAAUAUUAGUAAAUCGGUAUAAAAAGUAUCGGUACACCAGUCUAUACCAACGAAUUUUUAGUUUAUGUCAAAAGCACGAUUUAAGAUAUUUUAUAGAAUUCGUAUUCUUUGAUUGCGGACUCAGUUGGCCUUGACACGUGUGAAAUUAGGCGUAAAGUUGCUUGUAUAAUGUUCAUUUAUGAUCUCAUUAAUUAUAAUAUCGACUGUCCGGAAUUAUUAUUUCCAGUUGGAUUGCAUAUUCCAGUGUAUUUAACGAGAUCAUUAGUAUUGUUUUCUGUACCUAAUUAUAAAACUAACUUAGCAGCUGGAACUUUUUUUCCUAGAGCUUCAUUUAUAGCAAACUCAGUGUGUAUGUUUAUUGAAUUUUCGAUAUGUCUCUUGUUUAAUUUAAUUAUGGUGUUUUGUCAAUUUUACUUUCCAAUUCUUAAUUUCUUAUGACCGAUGUAUUUUUUUUUCUUUUUAUAAUUAUAUGGCCACUUAAUAUUUCGAUAUGUACUUAUUUAUUAAUUACGUAUUACUUAUUUUAAUUAUUUCGUGUACCUAUUUUUGAUUAUUUAAUAAUAUUUAAUAAUUUUGUAAUUGUUAAUUUAAAGGGCAUAAUACCCGUUCAUGAAAUAUAAAAUAUCCUUAACCGUGGGCAAAAGCCUGGUAAAAAUAUUUAUGAUAAUAUCUAGUUUACAAAAUGCACAUUGAAAUUACGCCGUCCAUUAAGAUUAGUUCUAUCCACGAUUAAAGAUGUACUGGUGGCCCAACGGGCUAUGCCAUAAGCGAUAUCAAAUAGCAAUUGAAAUUGCUCACAGGAACAGUUGCUUAACUAACUGAGUGUGCUCUAUGUCCGUGAAUAUAAUGCUAUAUUAAAAUAUUUCGCGUUCACAAACAUACUUUUGAAUUACCAUAGCAAUUUAGUACAUAUUCUAAUACAUAAAUAUUUCAUUGCGGUUGAAGAGCUCUACAGAAUUGUUUUAUCAUUGCGUAAUUAUGUAGGCCACGAUGAAUAGUUUCUAUGUAACAGCCGUGUUCAAUUCUACUAUUCCGUAUGAAAACCGAUGUUAUCGCGUAACAAGAUUAAGUUAUUCCCUAGAUAAAUAUUUUAUAUUUUCGUCGGACAGCCUUUAUACAUAUUUUUUUAUAUCCAUAAUCCAUGGCAACCACACAUCUCCAUAGUUCUCAUCCUAUUUAUACCAAGGUCACAAUAUUUAUUAUUUAGUAAAGUAAAUAAAUAUAGAAAUAAAAAAUUAAUAAAUUAAUAAAUGCGUCGCCUGGAGUAUUAUACGACCGAUUUCGAAUUAAAAAUUCAUCAUCAGGUACGUCACAGUCAAAAUGUAAAAUGCGAGUGAAUAUAAAAAAUAAAACAAAGUAAUACAUAAAAAAAAAAAAAGUAUAAAUUUCAAAAAAGUGAUAAAAAAAAUCAAAUACCAAUAGGUAGACGUGAAUAAUAUUGUGGUAGUGUGAUUAAAAAUUAUCAAUUGAUAAUAUUCAAAUUAAAUGGCGGAACGAAAUUUCUCAUGUUAUCACUAGUUAACAAUCUAGUUUAUUAUACAUAUCUCGUAGAUAUAGGUUUAUAUAUUUAGGUAUAUCUUAAACCGUGGCUAAAAUACGCCUAUAUCUCAAUGGUUUUAUCAAUAGGCAUAUUUAGCAUAUUAUAUGAUAACAGCGUAUUUGGUGAUAUUGUGUAUUUGUGUGAAUUUUUCACAGUAUUUGGCAAUUUUGGGGCAUUUUAACGCAAGAUCUAUAAAGUUUCUUCUUUACAGUUUUUGAUUUUAAUGCUUUGUAUAGGUGAUUGCACUUUUGAACCUUCUGUCAACCCUGUGACUGCUGGAACAAAAUAGUUGAACUUAGUUCGUGCGCACAAUACAUAAACAUCUCAUCUAAACCACGAUCUCAACAUUCUAAACAAUCUAAACAAUCUAUUAGUGACAUAAUAAUAAUUACUAAUUGCUUCUAUAGUAGCUAUUGGGUAUGAUUUUUUUGGGACUUGUGAGUAUUAUGUAGUUUUGAAAGGCCAACCAGUAAUUUGUCCCCCACUUAAACUUACCAUUGGCCAAAUACAAACCUGUUUACUAUCAACAACUCACUGUCUUUCGUAUAUAUAUCUCUCUCUGAAACUUAUUUACAUCGUCAGCAUAAUAAUACUUUCUAUCAGGUAUUUCAUACAUAAACAUUUCUCCCUCUUUCUUUUCUCUCGUUUCUCAAUGACAUAAUUAGCCACUGUAAAUGUUGUAAAUCACGGUUCGUGCCUAAUUAGUUUUGUUUCUUUGCGAUAAUAAUUCAGUGUAUAUAUUUAUACGCGAACGUGCAAGAUUAAUUUUAGUUCUAAAAAAUUUUAAUAUUUUAAGACAAAUAAAAACAGUAACGUAUACUGUUGUAUAAAAUAGUAUAAUUAAUUUUAAAUUGAAUCUAUCAAAACAUUUUUCGAGUUAGAAUGAAGCUAACGGUAAAUUUGGAUUUGCAAAAGGAACGCGAAAAAUGCACGUUUAACAUCGAGGAACUUACAAAUUUUUUGGAUGGAGGUGUUGAUAAAACUUUAAAUAGACGGAAAAUUGGUUUGUUAACUUUUUGAAUGACAACAGUAAAUGUAUACCAUGUUCAUUUAUAUUAUAUUAAAUAUAUUUUUAGAAUCAUUUUUUUUAUCCGACCCAAGUCUUAAUGAUGAAGUUCCUAUGGAAUACUUAAGUCACAAGGAACGUUAUGAACACGCUGUACGUAAGAGUUGUAUUUUAUUCAAAAAAGUUAACGACUGGCAACAAAAUAAUGAUAGCGGUAGCAACUCGAUGGAAAUUUACAAGUACUAAUCAAGAAAUUUUAUCUAAAUAAUUUAUUUACAGGUAAUUAAUAAUAAAAUUUCAGAUCUAUUUUAGGUGGAUCAGUUGGUAGUGCAAUAAUUAAAGACGGUACACCGUUUGCAGUACACUAUGUCAUGUUUAUACCUACAAUUAUGGGCCAGGGUACAGUGGAACAACAAGGUGAAUGGAUUGGUCGAGCUUUCAGCAACCAAAUUCUAGGCACUUAUGCUCAGGUAUUUUAAAAUUUGGAUUUUUUUGUUAUCUAUAGAAUAACUGUUUCUUGAUUUUAUGUGUAAUGUUUCAAAUUAACUUUCAUGCGGAGCACGCUAUUAUCUGAAACCAGAAUAGUUGCGCAUUGUAAUUUUUACAACAGUACUAAUAUGUUGUGAUAAUUAUAUCCAUACCCAUAUCAAUAUAUUUUCUGUAUUUUAAACUUUAAUUUAUAUAUUAUGUUUACAUAAUAUAAGCAAAAAAAAAAAAUGCAUCUAUUUUAAUAUCUUUUUAAUAUAUUAUAUCUUUUAGUAUAUUUUUUAUGUUUUUUUUUUUUAAAUUCAUAACAAAUUAUUAUUAUUUAUUGAAAAUGUAAUAAGUCAUAUUAUAAAAAUAUUUAGAAAAUUGACAUGAGUUUUAAUUGAAAAAAGAAAAAUAAUACACGCCAUACAUUAAAUUUUACAAAAUUGUUGUUUUACGUAAAUAGAUGACAUAAAAAAAAAGGUACACAGAAUGACGCGUUUUGUAUUUAAGCAACAAUACAAGAAGUUAAUGUUGAUUUGUUAGCAAUAAAGUGAAUUGAAAAACUUUAAAAAUAGUCUAAAACAGAGAUAAUAAGAUUUUAAAGUAAUACACAUGACUUAAAAAUGAAAUAAAUAAAUAAAUACAUAACUGUUAUAUUAUUUAUAACAACGUGCCCGCUUGAAGGUUAAGUUAUGAAUUAUCAUUUGAUUCAUUUUCCUAGUCUUAAUAAAUAAAUAGGUAAUUAUAAAUUUGAUCAAGGGAUAUAAUUAUUUUUCAAAACUAUAAUAUAUUAUAUCAAGAUUGACUAUUUGUAAAAGUUUAAAGCCUUAGAAUUAUAAAUUUAAUAUCAAAAUUAACAAAAUAUAUUUCGUUUGAAACUAUUAUAUAUAUAUAUAUAUAUAUAUAUAUAUUUGUUUAAUACUAUUUCUUAUUAUCAUGCUGCAUUAUAAAAAUUUUAGGAUAUUUAUCUGAUUCAAAAACAUAUUUACCUAUAGACAAUAACAACAGUGUAAAACAAAUAGUUUCAGAGAAACUAAAUUGUAUUUUUAAAUGAUUUUUUAUAGACUGAACUUGGUCAUGGGACAUUUAUUCGUGGUUUAGAAACAACUUGUACUUAUGAUCCAGCUACAGAAGAAUUUGUUUUAAAUAGUCCCACACUGACGUCAUAUAAAUGGUGGCCUGGUGGACGUGAGUUUUUGUUCUGAUGUGUUGAAUAGAAAAUGUCAAACAGUAAUAUCUAAUUAUGUUGAUAUUUUAGUUGGCCAUACCUGUGAUUAUGCAGUCGUGAUGGCUCAGCUUUAUAGCCAAGGCAAGUGUCAUGGUAUACACCCAUUUAUAGUUCAACUUAGAGAUGAAGAAACAUGGAAACCAAUGCCUGGUAACAUAAUAUAAUAAGUAAUUACAAAUUAAAAUAAACUUUAAUAUUAUUAAAUAUAGUGAAUGUUAUUAGGUAUAAAAAUUGGUGAGAUAGGUAGUAAAAUGGGGAUGAAUUCUACUAAUAAUGGGUAUUUAGCAUUUGAUAAAGUAAGAAUUCCUAGAAUGCAAAUGCUGAUGAAAAAUGCCAAAGUGCUUAAGGUAAAUAAUUAUUUUAUUUCUAUCUACAAACCUAACAUUUAUAAUAUUAUACAAUAUCAAAACUAACCACUUAUAGAUUAUAAAUAUGUUUUUAAAAAGUUUUAAGAGAAAUAAUGUUUCAAGGUAUACUUUUAUGAAAUUCCUAAAUAAAAAUAAUAUAAUAUAAAUUUUGAUCAACAUAAUGUAAAACAUUCAACAUUAAUUUAUUUUAGAACUGUUUUUAAGAUUUUCUGUGGUUAAAAAGGUGUGGGCUGGUCAUGGCGUGUAGAGGGUGCUUUAAUUAGACGGGUACUCAUUAACUAACUAGCCAAAUAAAAAAACAAUUUAUGGGAAGACCACGGCAAUUGUGGAUGAACUGAGUAAAAUAUUACUUAAAGUGAUUAUAAAUCUAGUGAGUAUUUAAGAUGCAGAAAAUCGAGAAAUUUGGAGAUCUCUGGUAAAAAUUGCAAAGUGUUUGAAUGACGCGUAAAGUAAAAAAAAAAAUUAUUUUUCAAAUGUUCUAAACAACAAAAUUUGAAAAAAGUUAAUAUUUUACAAUAUGAGUAUCAUAUGUUAUGUUGAUCACUGUAUAUAAUAAAUUAUUUUUCAAGGAUGGCACAUAUCAAAAAUCAGUAAACGACAAAUUAACUUAUGGUACUAUGAUAUUUGUACGCGUAGUAAUUGUGAGAGAUUUAGUAACCAGUUAUAUAUCCAAAGCUGCAGUAAUAGCAACUAGAUAUAGUUGUGUUAGAAGACAAUCGGAAAUUAAACCCGGGUAAAUGAUUUUGUAUGAAAACAGUAAAAAUUUAAAUUUUGCUUAACUAAUUUGUUAAAUUAUUAAUAAUAUGUUAUAUUAGUGCGGGUGAAUCUCAAAUUUUAGAUUAUCAAACACAACAAUACAAAAUUUUUCCAGCCAUAGCUAUGAGUAUAGCUUAUAAAUGUGCAGCGUCUUGGCUUUGGGAUGUUUACAAUGAUGUAACUUCAAAGUUAGAAGAAGGAGAUUUAGAACUGUUACCAGAGGUAUAUUUAGUGAGAUAGUCUUGAAAAAAUUUUGAAAAGCUUUUAAUUUAUAGUUACAUGCAAUGGCAUGCUGUUUAAAAGCUGUUAGUACAGCUGAUGCUGCUGUAGCUGUAACAACAUGCCGUUUAGCGUGUGGAGGUCAUGGAUAUAUGAAUUGCAGUAAUUUUCCAAAUACUUAUGCAAUGACAUCUGCUACUGAAACAUAUGAAGGAGAAAACACAGUACUUCUUUUGCAAACAGCGAGGUAAUGAAUUUGCGUUUAAAUAAUUAUUUUAAAUUGUAGUAAUGUUAAAUAAAUGUCCUUGUAUACAUAUGGCUAAUUAAUCAAGUACUUUGUUAUUACAUAAUUAUUAUUAAUUAAUUUUCAUUUGAAGGUAUUUGAUGAAGGCAUGUCUUGAUGCAAAAUCUGGCUAUAAGUUGACUGAAACUGUAGCAUAUUUAAAUAAUUUUAAAAGUUUCAGACGUAGUAAAUGGAUUACAAAUUUGGAAUGUAUGAUUUCUGCAUUUUUUCAAGUUUCUGGAAGGUACAUUUUUUAUUUUUAUAUAUUUAGUAAAAGUAAUAGAAAAUUGAAAAAUUGCUAACAUGUUUAAGCAAAAUUGAGGAUUGCUACUUUUCUAUUAACCAAAAAUUGAAUUCUGGAAUGUCCCAAGAAGAUUCUUGGAACUCGACUACUGUUAAACUUGUCAAAGCAUCAGAAGUAAUUUAAAUAUUUAAUUUUGUUUUGUUAUUAAUAUUAUUUUUCUUUUAUAUUUUUAAUAUAAAUAAAAAAAAUUAUCUUUUUACAAAUUAUCAAAACGUCUCAAAAAUGUACCUACAUAAUUGUUUUUUGUUUUAGGCACAUUGUAGAGCAUUUGUAAUAAAAAGUUUUGUUACAACAAUUAAGACAGCUAAAUUUUCAACAGAAUUGAUGAAAGUGCUUACAGACCUCUGUGAAUUGAUUUGUGCAUAUUGGAUUUUAAAUAAACUAGGAGAUUUCCUUCAAGUAAAAUUGUAUAUUUUAUUUUUAAUUUGUUUUGUUUAUUGACAUUUGUUACUUAUCUACUUUUUCAGUUUUCCAAUCUAAAAUCAAAAGAUGUUCCUUCGAUACAGUCUUUGUUAGAAGAUUGCUUAAACCGUAUUCGACCUAAUGCAGUUAGUCUGGUGGAUAGUUUUGAUAUUCGAGAUGAAAUAUUAGGCUCUGCUUUGGGAGUUUACGAUGGAAAUGUUUAUGAACGUCUAAUAGAAGAUGCCAAUAAAAGCCCAUUGAAUCAAAAACCUGUUAAUGAAUCAUUUCACAAGUAUUUAAAAGAGUAUUUAAAAUCCAAUUUAUAAGCAAUCCAACCAAAUUUAAUCAUUGUAUUUACUAUUUACUGAGAUAGGUCCUAAUCGGUAUUUGUCAACAAUUUCAUUAGGUGCGAUUUUUUAAUAAAUUUACAUUUUAUUAUAUUACUAUAUUAUUAUAUAUAUACACACUAUAUUAUGUAUUCUUACUUGUUAUUUAAAAAAGAGAUAUUGUGUAAUAAGGUGGGUUUUUGUUUUUGUUAAUUCAUUAUUCUAUAUUCUAUAUGAUUAAAUAUAUAAUUGUUUUAAUUAUAGUUUUUAACAGUUGUCUUAGAAAUGUUAUAGUGUUGAGAGAUUAUCUUUUAUUGUUUUAUUUAUUUUUAUACGUCUAAAUCAUUGAAAAAUAAACUAUGUAUCAGUGA